rnacentral:rRNA from 1 species
UACGUAGGGUGCAAGCGUUAAUCGGAAUUACUGGGCGUAAAGCGUGCGCAGGCGGUUAUGUAAGACAGAUGUGAAAUGCCCGGGCUUAACCUGGGAACUGCAUUUGUGACUGCAUGGCUAGAGUGUGUCAGAGGGGGGUAGAAUUCCACGUGUAGCAGUGAAAUGCGUAGAGAUGUGGAGGAAUACCGAUGGCGAAGGCAGCCCCCCUGGGAUAACACUGACGCUCAUGCACGAAAAGCGUGGGGAGCAAACAGG